rnacentral:rRNA from 1 species
ACAGCAGUAGCCGCGGGAAUACGUAGGGUGCAAGCGUUAAUCGGAAUUACUGGGCGUAAAGCGUGCGCAGGCGGUUUGUUAAGACAGAUGUGAAAUCCCCGGGCUCAACCUGGGAACUGCAUUUGUGACUGGCAGGCUAGAGUAUGGCAGAGGGGGGUGGAAUUCCGCGUGUAGCAGUGAAAUGCGUAGAUAUGCGGAGGAACACCGAUGGCGAAGGCAGCCCCCUGGGCCAAUACUGACGCUCAUGCACGAAAGCGUGGGGAGCAAACAGGAUUAGAUACCCCAGUAGUCCCUGUCUCUUAUAC